UGGUACCAUAGAGACUGUGUACAUCUACAUGAUGAACAAGAGUGGUUAAGACUUACAGAGUCAGGAGAGCCUUUCUCUUGUCCUAUGUGCAUUUAACCAUGUAUAAGAAUUCCAAUAAGAAAAAUAAAUUGACCUUUUGUGGAAUUUGAUGACAUUCAGCAGUCUGUGCAGCCUCUCCACCAGUAAUUUGAUUUCCGAGAAAUUGUUGUUUGUCCUAAGAUGACAGAGUUCAUGGAAUGGCAGUAACCAAGUUUUAUAGUGGCAAUCAAUUCAGAACCUGCGUCACCAAGACUCCUUUGGAACAUCUCCAUCAGAUGAAGCAUUUCAGUAUUCAAUACCUCUUCGGCCAGGUGAUUACGCAUUUUGGCUUCUGAUGUUAAGAACAGAUGCUCUUGUGAAAGUUUAUGGUGAAU